rnacentral:rRNA from 1 species
GCCAGUGGCUAUAUCACCUUGCAGCUCACAUCUGGCAAUUCCCUGAAGCCAAGCAGGUGUGAACUGGUCAGUGCCUGGAUGGGAGACCUUCUGGGAAAAACUAAGGCUGCUGCUGGAA